CUCUUCUCUCUUCUCUUCUCUUCUCUUCUCUUCUCUUCUCUUCUCUUCUCUUCUCUUCUCUUCUCUUCUCUUCUCUUCUCUUCUCUUCUCUUCUCUUCUCNGCGGGGGGGUCCCUCGGGGGUCCCCGUUGAGGCGGAGGCGCCGGGGGUCGAGGUCCGGGCCGGGGGGGGGUCCGGGGGGGUCGGUGCCCCCCGGGAAACUGCAGCUCCUGGAGCGUUUCUUCACCAGCCCGGCCCCUUCGGCCUCGUCCUCCUCAUCUUCAUCCUCCUCGGGGUCACGUGGGGGUGCCGCGAGGUCACGUGGAGGGGGCCCGGGGUCACGUGAAGAGGGCCCCGGCUCGCCUAAGGGAGCCUCGGGGUCACGUGGGGACCUGCUGGGGUCACGUGGGGAGAGCCCCGGCUCGCCUAAAGGCGCCUAUGGGUCACGUGGGGAAAUCUUGGGGUCACGUGGGGACUUCCUGGGGUCACGUGGCGACCUCCUGGGGUCACGUGGGGAGAGCCCGGGGGGCUUCGGGGAGAGCCUGGGGUCACGUGGGGACGCUUCGAGGUCACGUGGGGGCGACGCGAGGUCACGCGGGGACGCCCCGGGGUCACCUGAGGGCGCCUUUGGGUCACGUGGGGAUCUCCUGGGGUCACGUGGGGACGCGUCGAGGUCACGUGGGGACAUCCCGGGGUCACGUGGGGGUAUCCUGGGGUCACGUGGGGACAGCCCGGGGGUCUUCGGGGACAUCCCGGGGUCACGUGGGGACAGCCCGGGGUCGCCUAAGGGCGCCUCGGGGUCACGUGGGGACAGCCCGGGGUCACGUGGGGACGCCUGGAGGUCACGUGGGGGCUGCCGGGACCCCCUCCUCGGGGACCCCUCGGGGUCACUCGGGGUCGUUCGUCCCCUCCCCCCCCUCCCGUUGGGGGACCCCCCGGGGUCACGUGGCGGACUUUGGGGGUCACGUGGGGACACCCCGGGGCUCUUCGGGGACGUGCCGGGGUCACGUGGGGGCGCGGGACAUCCCCCAUCCCCCCCCCAGGGGAGGGGACCUCCCCUCCCCUCCCCAUAUUCUCCUAUUCUUCACUGUCCAAGUCUCCACACAGCUUCUUAUAUCCUCAU
rnacentral:lncRNA from 1 species